GCGCAGGUAGUCUAGUUGGGCGGCGGACUGCAGAUCCGCUUUUACCCGAGUUCGAAACUCUUGUCGGUAGAGGAUGACGGGGCGAAAAUCUCGGCCUGCGCUCCA
rnacentral:tRNA from 1 species